rnacentral:rRNA from 1 species
ACUAAGUGAUCAAAGGGAUUAUUAGGGAUGCCUAGCAGAUUUAUUAAAAAGGACGACUACAAAUCGAAAAAUAUAGAUAUAAUAAAGACUAUAUAAUCCUAGGGGAAACCUCAGACUUUAAUAAUAAAAGCAAGUAUUUACAUUGGGAAGUAAAACAUUUUAGUACCAAUAGGAAAGGAAAUCAACUGAGACUUCAGAAGUAAUGGUGAGUGAAACUGAAUUAGCCUAUUAAAUUAUAAUUGAAAAAGUAUUUUGGAAUAAAUAAUAUCAUUUUUAUUUAAAAUGAACCCAGAGAAGGUGAAAGUCCUGUUUUUUAAUUUUAAUUUAUCGCAAAAUUAAUAUAAAUUUUAUAAUUUAUAUUAUUUGUAUAAUAGUAAUUACAAUGGGGACGUCAGCCCUGUUGAAAUAAGGGGGUACCAUCCUCCAAGGCUAAGUAUAAUAAAUCUAGCGAUAGUAAAAAGUAACGUGAGUGAAAGGUGAAAAGUAAGUAGAUAACUAUUGAAAUAAUCCUGAACUAGUAAUCCUAUAAGCAGUUGGAGUUUUAAAUAAAUAUAAAUGACAACGUACCUUUUGCAUAAUGGGUCAGCGAGUUAAUAUGUAGUGCCAGGUGAAAAACCUUAGCGAAAGCGACUCUUUCUAUAUAUUUUAAAUAUAUAUCUAUUUUAUUUAUUAUUUCGGGCCGGAGGCCAAAGGAAAUAAAAUGGGAAAGAGGGAAAGUACUAUGUAUUAGACCCGAAGCUAAGUGAUCUUUUCAUGGUCAGGCAAUAAGUGGCCGAACGGGUGAAUGUUGCAAAAUUCUCCGAUGAACUGUGAAAAGGGGUGAAAGGCCAAUCUAACUUAGAUGAUAGCUGGUAUUCUGCGAAACCUAUUUAAGUAGGACGUCUGUUAAAAUUCUUAUGUGUACAGCACUGAUCAUCAUACUAAUAUAAUUUUAUAUUAAAAUUAGGUUAAAUUGGGGGGUGUGAAAACCCUACCAUUGAUGUGUUAACCUCGGAAAAAUAAGAAUAUAUCCCUUAUCUUUCAAGAAUAGGGAAAUAACAGGCUUACAGUCUAUUCAUGAUAAGGUGGAUAGACAAAAGGGAAACAGCCCAGAGCGCAUUGUUAAGGUCCCUAAAUAAAUAUUAAGUGAAUAUAAGAAAGUUUUUCUCUUUAUACAACCAUUAAGUAGGCUUGGAGGUAGCCAUCUUUUAAUGAUAGUGUAACAACUCAGUGGUCUAUAUAAACUAUAUUAGUUUUAAUUGAGAAAAGCGUCGAAGAUUUAUCGGGUCUAGAUAUUUUACCUAUACUGUGCCUAUUUAUUAUAAAAAUAGAAAAGCUAUUAAAAAUAGUUAUUAAAAAUAAUUUAAAUAAUAAAUAUGGGUAGCAGAACAUUCAGUGAGUAUGAAGAUUUGUAUUUUAUAAAUUAGACGAUACUGAAGAGAGAAUGCUGACAUGAGUAACGUAGAAAGGAGUUAAAACACUCCUCGCCGAAUACGAAAGGUUUUCAUGGUCAAGUGAAUCUGCCAUGAGUUACACGGUUUCUAAGGUUUAUCUUAACUACUAAAUAAAAUAUUACAUUUUAUUUAGCGGGUAUAAGAAAUAGCGAAAGUUAAAACUGAUGAGCCCCCUUCGGGGAUGUAUACAAAAUUAUCUAUAUUUUAAAUAUAGAUCAAGAAAAAUAUGUUAUAAACAACCGUACCUUAAACCGACACAGGUUCGUAGGUAGAGAAUACUUAGGCGUAGAGAUAAUGCUUGUGAAGGAACUCGGCAAAUUGUAUCCGUAAGUUAGACGAUAAGGUUAGCCCCUUUUUUUUAUUAUGCUAUAAAGCAUAAAAAGAGAAAGGGUGUGUCACAAAAUCGAGGGCUGCGACUGUUUACCAAAAACACAUCAACUUGCUAAGACGAAUAGUACUUGUAUAAGUUGUGAACUCUGCCCAAUGCCACUAAGUGUAAAAAAGAUAAUAUUUCAACAGAUUUGUCAUCAAUUGAUACCGUGGUGAAUGGCGGUCUUAACUAUAAGGAUCUAAAAGUAGCAAAAUUCCUUGGCCAUUAAAUGUGGUCCUGCAUGAAUGAGGUAACGUGGCCCUGCUGUCUCCACAAGCAUCUCAGUGAAAUUGAAUUAGCCGUGCAGAUGCGGUUUGCCUUCAGGUAGACGGGAAGACCCUAUGCAGCUUUACUGUAGUUUGAUAUUAAUUGUUUUGUGCACAGAUGUAGAAUACAAGGGAGUGCUAUGCACGUCAGUGAAAUACCUUGACUGAUUAAAUGCAAAAAACAGUUUAAACAUAGUCGAUAGACAAAGGACAGUAUCAUACGGUCAGUUUGACUGGGACGGUAGCCUCUAAUAAAGUAUCAGAGGCCUUCAAAGGUACGCAUAUGUUGGUCAGAAACCAAUAGAUUAUGAAAAAUCAAAUAAAGUGUAAUGAUAUAAGUGUGCUUUACUGAAAGAUUGACAAAUCAAUCAGCUACGCAAGUAGGACAUAGUGAUCCGGUGGUUCGAUAUGGAACGGCCAUCGCUCAAGGAAUAAAAGUUACGCUAGGGAUAACAGGUUUAUCGUUUGCGAGAGUUCACAUUGUCCAAACGGUUUGACACCUCGAUGUCGACUCAUCUCAUCCUCCAGGUGUAGUAGCUUGGAAGGGUUCAGCUGUUCGCUGAUUAAAGAGGUACGCGAGUUGGGUUCAAUACGACGUGAGUCAGUAUGGUCCCUAUCUUCUGAAGGAAGAGAAUCAAAGGAGGACCUCUAGUUAGUACGAAAGGACCAUUAGGGAUGAUUCUAUGGUGUACCUAUUGUUAUAUUAUGAAAAUAAUCGAAGCACAGUAGGGUAGCCACAAUCAUGACAGAUAAGCGCUGAAAGCAUCUUAAGCACGAAGCACACCUCUGGAGAUUUAUAUUAAAUAAUAAUACUUUUUCUGCUUUAUGCAAAGAAAAAGUAUAAAUAAAGAUUAGAAAUAGAACAUUUCUACUAUAGAUAGGAUGCAAAUGAAAGUAAAGUAAUUUAUUUAGUUUA